rnacentral:rRNA from 1 species
UGAUCCUGGCUCAGGAUGAACGCUGGCGGCGUGCUUAACACAUGCAAGUCGAACGGAACGCCAAGGAAAGAGUUUUCGGACAAUGGAAUUGGUUGUUUAGUGGCGGACGGGUGAGUAACGCGUGAGUAACCUGCCUUGGAGUGGGGAAUAACACAGUGAAAACUGUGCUAAUACCGCAUGACAUAUUGGUGUCGCAUGGCACUGAUAUCAAAGAUUUAUCGCUCUGAGAUGG